GGGGUGUUUGCUGAACCGUGGUUG
rnacentral:siRNA from 1 species